AAUGAAUUGCCUGAUAAAAAGGGUUACCUUGAUAGGGUAAAUCAUAUGAAUUUUCAUAUUCAUUA
rnacentral:tRNA from 1 species